CCGUGUCCAAACUUCAUGCAUAUAAGCAGCUCUACCAUGCAUAUAGCUAACGAAAGCCAACAAAAAGCUCCCACCUUCUUCACUGAAGACCUGUCUUGCAAGUAGGUGUUGUACUCACGAAUUGCCGGGAUAGCAAUUAACCACCAAAGGAUCAGCCGAUACACAACCAAGGGGUUCCUGGGAGGAAUCCAGAGACAAAAUUUCAGGAAGAAGGUGUUAAGUUCCACUGUCAUGAAACCGACGCAGAGACAGAACACUUGGAUGAAUCUCCUUGGCUCCAUGAAAGGAUGCCAUUGAUCCUUAUCCCAUUUAGCGGGUGUGAACUGACAUAAUGACCUUUUUACCUUACCCAUAAUGCUUGGCUGACGGCUCAGUCCAACCCAUUCGUAUGUUUUGCCAUCAAAGUAACGGACUGUGUGCAUCCCCGCCCAAAUACCAAACCAAUUACAUAUCAUGAUAUCCAAUAUAAUACUGUCCCACCAACACUCGUUAAAAUUUGGCAGCAUGCAGCUUUUCUAACCUCCAUGAGCUCAAAACCAACUGACAAGACCCAUAGGAGAAGUUGGUUCCGUAUCAUUACUGCCUUACCCCACCAACCCAAGACAUGGGCAAUAACAAAUUCAUCAAACAAUGUCUCCUAUAGUUUAAAUGGUCCAAGUGAAAGGCUAAUGAGUAAAUUUUAAGAAUAGCAUGUUAGUGAAUACAAUAAACUGUAGACAUAGCCAACCUGGAAAAGAAGAAAAGUUAGAGCAACAAGGUACACAACAGCCAUGCCAUGCACCAAACGCCACACAGCAGGAUGAGGCCUAAUAAGUAUCCUGUGCUUGGAGAGUGCAGUAUGCUAGGAAAACUGCGAUCAUAGCCCAGACACCCCUGAGAAAAUGUCAGUGAGUGAAUCAGUUUCCUGGCAUUAAUUUAGACUACUUACAUCAGGAGGCAUGCGCCGGCAAGGAGAACCGAGACCGUGUGUGGCUUGUAAAGCCAAGCCGUCCACGGGUCGUAUUCCUCCACGCCGCCGCCGUCCGACGGCC
rnacentral:sRNA from 1 species